rnacentral:tRNA from 1 species
AGUCCGCAUAGUUUAAAGAAAACACUAGGCUGUGAACCUAGAAAUAGGCAUCUUGCCUUACAGACC